UUUCCGUAGGUGAACCUGCGGAAGGAUCAUUAACGUAUCUCCGGCGGUGGUCGUCGCUCCACGCUCCGGCCCCAAAAGGCCGUGCAGCGGGACCGCGCCCCCGUCCAACCUUUGCAAAAACCCCCUGUGCACAUUCACGGCGGAGGGCCGACGGGCGAGAGCCCCGAAGCCCAAAGCCGCAUCACCAAACACCAAGUUUAAAAAGAAUGAACUGCGGCCGCGUGUCGCCUAACAAUUGAACAACUUUCAACAACGGAUCUCUUGGCUCUC
rnacentral:misc_RNA from 1 species